rnacentral:rRNA from 1 species
UACGUAGGGGGCAAGCGUUGUCCGGAAUCAUUGGGCGUAAAGGGUGCGUAGGCGGCCUAAUAAGUCAGUGGUGAAAGCCUCCAGCUUAACUGGAGAACUGCCAUUGAUACUGUUAGGCUUGAGUAUACUUGAGGUAGGCGGAAUUGACAGUGUAGCGGUGAAAUGCAUAGAUAUUGUCAAGAACACCAAUUGCGAAGGCAGCUUACUAAAUUAUAACUGACGCUGAGGCACGAAAGUGUGGGUAUCAAACAGG